rnacentral:rRNA from 1 species
AACGAACGCUGGCGGCAGGCCUAACACAUGCAAGUCGAGCGCCCCCGCAAGGGGAGGCGGCGGGAGCGGGCUGGAGUAACAGCGUGGGAAUUUUCCGAUUCCAAGGUAGGGAACAACUCAGGGAAACUUGGGCUAAUACCCUAUGAUGUCUAGCGACCAAAGAUUUAUCGCCUUGGGAUAAGCCCGCGUCAGAUUAGGUAGUUGGUGGGGUAACGGCCUACCAAGCCUGCGAUCUGUAGCUGGUCUGAGAGGACGAUCAGCCACACUGGGACUGAGACACGGCCCAGACUCCUACGGGAGGCAGCAGUGGGGAAUCUUGCGCAAUGGGCGAAAGCCUGACGCAGCCAUGCCGCGUGAAUGAUGAAGGUCUUAGGAUGUAAAGUUCUUUCGCCCGUGACGAUGAUGACGGUAACGGGAGAAGAAGCCCGGCUAACUUCGUGCCAGCAGCCGCGGUAAUACGAAGGGGGCCUAGCGUUGUUCGGAAUUACUGGGCGUAAAAGCGCGCGUAGGCGGUUUUUGGCAAGCCAGAGGUGAAAUGGCUGAGCUCAACUUAGGAAUUGCCUUUGGGACUGCGAGGCUUUGAGGACUGGAGAGGUGGGUGG